rnacentral:rRNA from 1 species
AUUGAACGCUGGCGGCAAGCCUAACACAUGCAAGUCGAACGAGUGGCGGACGGGUGAGUAAUGUCUGGGAAACUGCCUGAUGGAGGGGGAUAACUACUGGAAACGGUAGAUAAUACCGCAUACCAUCGGAUGUGCCCAGAUGGGAUUAGCUAGUUGGUGGGGUAAAGGCUCACCUAGGCGACGCUCCCUAGCUGGUCUGAGAGGAUGACCAGCCACACUGGAACUGAGACAGUGUACAGACGCCGACGGGAGGCAGCAGUGGGGAAUAUUGCACAGUGGGCGCAAGCCUGAUGCAGCCAUGCCGCGUGUAUGAAGAAGGCCUGCGGGGUGUAAAGUACUUUCAGCGGGGAGGCGUUACCCGCAGAAGAAGCACCGGCUAACUCCGUGCCAGCAGCCGCGGUAAUUC